CGCAUCUGUGCAUGCAGCAUAUCAAUAAGCGGAGGAAAAGAAACUAACAAGGAUUCCCUUAGUAACGGCGAGUGAAGCGGGAAGAGCUCAAAUUUGAAAUCUUCAAGGUUUUACCUUGACGAAUUGUAGUUUAAAGAAGUGUUUUCCUGCUGAAGUUUUGGUAAAAGUUCUUUGGAAUAGGACAUCAUAGAGGGUGAGAAUCCCGUAUUUGACCAUUAUUUUCAGCUUUGUGAUACACUUUCAAAGAGUCGGAUUGUUUGGGAAUGCAGUCCAAAAUGGGUGGUAAAUUUCAUCUAAAGCUAAAUAUUGGCGAGAGACCGAUAGCGAACAAGUACCGUGAGGGAAAGAUGAAAAGAACUUUGAAAAGAGAGUUAAACAGUACGUGAAAUUGUCAAAAGGGGAAGCGUUUGACACCAGUGUUGUUUUCUCGAAAAUCAAUUAAAGAUGGCUCGAUUUUGUAUUGCUGAGACCUUAAAAGCUCACUGUACAUUUUUCGUGUCUUUUUUAAUGCACUUUUCGUUUAACAAGUCAACAUCAGUUUCUUUUGUUGUAAAAGGGUCAUUGGAAGGUGGCUUUCUUUUCGGAGAAAGUGUUUAUAGCCUUUGGCCUCUGCAAUCGGAAGAGACUGAGGUCUGCAGCGUAGACUCUUCGGGGUUAGAUACAUUUGUGCUAAGUUAUAGCUUUUUAUAGACAACUUGUUGACUAUAAUUAGUCUUGUAGCUUACUCGCUUAUGCUAUUUACCUACGCUUAGGAUGUUGAUAGUCACAGCGUGUAC
rnacentral:rRNA from 1 species